rnacentral:rRNA from 1 species
GAUGAACGCUAGCGGCAGGCCUAAUACAUGCAAGUCGAGCGGCAAGUCGAGGAGUAAUCUGAGACCUAGAGCGGCGUACGGGUGCGUAACGCGUAUGCAACCUACCUCAUACAGGGGGAUAGCCCGGAGAAAUCUGGAUUAAUACCCCAUGGCACAGCACAAGGGCAUCUGCGAGCUGUUAAAGAUUCAUCGGUAUGAGAUGGGCAUGCGUCUGAUUAGCUAGUUGGCGGUGUAACGGACCACCAAGGCGACGAUCAGUAGGGGUUCUGAGAGGAAGGUCCCCAACACUGGCACUGAGAUACGGGCCAGACUCCUACGGGAGGCAGCAGUAGGGAAUAUUGGGCAAUGGUCGGAAGACUGACCCAGCCAUGCCGCGUGCAGGAAGAAGGCCUAUUGGGUUGUAAACUGCCUUUAUCUGGGAAGAAAAGGCCCGUGCGCGGGACAUUGCCGGUACCAGAUGAAUAAGCACCGGCUAACUCCGUGCCAGCCGCCGCCGUAAGAC